rnacentral:rRNA from 1 species
UACGGAGGGGGCUAGCGUUGUUCGGAAUUACUGGGCGUAAAGCGCGCGUAGGCGGCUUUGUAAGUUAGAGGUGAAAGCCCGGAGCUCAACUCCGGAAUUGCCUUUAAGACUGCAUCGCUUGAAUCAUGGAGAGGUGAGUGGAAUUCCGAGUGUAGAGGUGAAAUUCGUAGAUAUUCGCAAGAACACCAGUGGCGAAGGCGGCUCACUGGCUCGAUACUGACGCUGAGGCACGAAAGCGUGGGGAGCAAACAGG